GGUUUGAGAAUUUUGAAACACUCACAAUACAGCUUCGGUAGCAUCAGUGAUAUUCUCCCUUUAUCACCCAGGCUGGAAUACAGUGGCACCAUCUCAGCUUACUGCAACCUCUGCCUCCUGGAUUCAAGCGACUCUCGUGCCUCAGUCUCCCGAGUAGCUGGGAUUACAGGAGGAAAGGCUGGACCCUGUAUUUGUGUUGUGUACCCUCACUCUAGGAGGUGUCUUCACACUAAGAGAUGGCCACUCAGCUUCUGGCAUUAUCACUCUGCAUCUACUUUGCCAAGCUUCUUCUUUUGAAACGUCUUGUGUAGGCAGUAGUUAUGAAUAUGCCACCCAGAAGAAUACCAGAUGAAUAAACUUACAAAUAUUUUGAAUAAAGCUCAAUCUAACAAUAGAUAUUUGAAUGAAAAUACUGGAAUCUCUUGUAAUAGCUCAGAAGGUAGCUUAAGUUUUAGCACAGGUGGUAGGAUCACAACACCUUGACCAGGACAGUCCACCUCUGAGCCUCGUCUACUAUGUGGUUUCUGAGUUCUGAAGCUCAGAAUGUUACAUAUAUGGGAAGUAGAAUAUAAUAAUCUAUGUAAUUUCUCUGGAUUCCAUUCCCAGUUAUCACAUGCCCCAAGAUUCCCAAUAAAUCAGAAAACCUCACAUUUGCAUUUUAGUAUUUCCAAAGGUUUUUUAUUUUUAUUUAGAGACUGGGUUUCACUGUUGCCUAGGCCAGAGUGCAGGGGCUAUUCACAGGUGCGAUCAUAGCACCCCACAGCCUUGAAUACCUGGGCUCAAGCAAUCCUCUUGCCUCAGCCUCCCAAGCAGCUGGGACUACAGGCACCCAGCUUCCAAGGCUGUUUUUAUUUUUAUUUUUUAAAGUUAUGUAUAGAUAGGAAAUCAAACACUUAGGAGUGAGCCCUCUCAACUCUUACUCCUCUCACAUUUCCCUCUCAGUCUAUACAUAAUCAGAAACCUGGGAGACCCUUGAUGUUGUCAAGUAAACAUUUCAGGUGUGAUAAAAAAGGAUAUAGGCGCCUAAAUUUUAAACUUACUAGCAUAAUCACGUUAUCAACAUAAAUUAACUACUGAAAGUUAAUUUGCUUAAACAUGGCUGAUCACAGUUUUUACCCCAUCAGUCAAUCUCAAUAACUUCUCUUACUUCAAGUGAAGAUAGUACUAUCUAUUAUAAGAAUAAUUCUAAAGCUGCACUCAUGAACAGUCAUGUGCUUCAUUUUCAAUGAGUCAAGAGCCAUAUGGUUCUCUUUAAUGAAUACAACUCUGGCAACAAAAUCUUGGCUCUCCCUUCCUGUUACUUGCAAUAAAAAAAUUU
rnacentral:lncRNA from 1 species